rnacentral:rRNA from 1 species
GAUGAACGCUGGCGGCGUGCCUAAUACAUGCAAGUCGAGCGAACAGACGAGGAGCUUGCCCCUUUGAAGUUAGCGGCGGACGGGUGAGUAACACGUGGAUAACCUACAUAUAAGACUGGGAUAACUUAGGGAAACCGGAGCUAAUACCGGAUAACAUGUUGAACGGCAUGGUUCAUCAGUGAAAGACGUUCUUGCUGUCACUUAUAGAUGGAUCCGCGCCGCAUUAGCUAGUUGGUAAGGUAACGGCUUACCAAGGCAACGAUGCGUAGCCGACCUGAGAGGAUGAUCAGUCACACUGGAACUGAGACACGGUCCAGACUCCUACGGGAGGCAGCAGUAGGGAAUCUUCCGCAAUGGGCGAAAGCCUGACGGAGCAACGCCGCGUGAGUGAAGAAGGUCUUCGGAUCGUAAAACUCUGUUAUUAGGGAAGAACAAAUGUGUAAGUAACUAUGCACGUCUUGACGGUACCUAAUCAGAAAGCCACGGCUAACUACGUG